rnacentral:rRNA from 1 species
CGAAGGGUGCAAGCGUUAAUCGGAAUUACUGGGCGUAAAGGGUGCGUAGGCGGUUAUUUAAGUCUGCCGUGAAAUCCCCGGGCUCAACCUGGGAAUGGCGGUGGAUACUGGAUAGCUAGAGUGUGUCAGAGGAUGGUGGAAUUCCCGGUGUAGCGGUGAAAUGCGUAGAGAUCGGGAGGAACAUCAGUGGCGAAGGCGGCCAUCUGGGACAACACUGACGCUGAAGCACGGAAGCGUGGGGAGCAAACAGGAUUAGAUACCCUGGUAGUCCACGCCCUAAACGAUGCGAACUGGAUGUUGGUCUCAACUCGGAGAUCAGUGUCGAAGCUAACGCGUUAAGUUCGCCGCCUGGGGAGUACGGUCGCAAGACUG